CCUCCCCCAUAAUCAACUGCUUUUAAAAAACAAUCCGGUCCAUUUCUAUGGUGGUGGUGCUUGGGGUCUUUGAAGGAUGGGAGGCAAUAAACCCUUUUGACAAAAGUGCUACUCCUCUCUCCCCUCAGCAUCCCAACCACAGCUUCUCUGGAUGCGACUGAUCUUCCUCCUGAAAGCGUCACUGAGGACCAGCUGAAGGACAGACUUACGGAUGUGGUCACAAUGAUGAAGAAUGGGAAGAUCCGAAGGAAGGCGCUCCGAUAUCUUUCUGCCCUCCUGCAGAAGAUCCAGGAAUAUCCUUCGGAAGCGCUUCCUGCAUCCUCCCUUGGCCAACUGGUGGCUAUUACCUCGGUGUGCGCACUGGAUCCGGACCUGGAGUGCAGGCAGCAGGCAGCAGAGGCCCUCUGCCAUCUUCUGCCCAUUCUGCAGCGCAACGAAGAGACACUGGCAGGAACGUUAAGCAACCAAAUACUUAUCACCAGAGCUGAGAAGGUCCUCAAAUCCCCCGGAGGACCGGUUCCUGAAUUGUUCGUGAAUAAUUGUUACCAUCUUGCCAGGGUCUUUGGCGCCUUUCUCCCUGCGGAGCAGCUCUUGGAGGCCAUGUGCUUCCUGGCCAGAGACCUGGUUGUCGAGAGCAGCUUCAACCCACUGGAUAUCUCCCACUUACUUCAAGAAUUCAUCAAGCAGUUUGGCGGCACAAAAGUGGAGGUGAAGGUGCUGCUGGAGGCCCUCUAUAAGAUCGCCCAGGGGCCUAUGGUGCAAGGCAGAGACGUGGCCGUCUUCUUGUUGUCCAUCUUGUCGCACCACCACCUGGCGAAAGUGGUGCAAUAUCUCCUCCAGUUUCCCUUCGGAGACUGUGAGAGAGUUUGGAAGGAGGUUUUAGCAUCGGCCGAACCAGAAAAGUUGAUCCAUCUCAUGGCCAAGCAGAUUUACCAAAGCCCCUUGGCGGAAUCUGCCACCAAAGUGCAACAUCUCACCAGCCUGUUGCACGCCAUCCUCAGGAUGGAGGACUACAAGGCAGCUGUGCGCCAGAAUUUCCCACAGCUGCUGAUUGCUCUCCUGGGGAUGGUUAUGAACUUCCACUACGACCAGGAAUUCCUCGGAGGGGCUAAGGAAGUUCUGCACCUCCUUCUUGGCACCACUGGAGAACAAGUGGAGGCGGCCAUCGUUGACCAACUUUUCUGCCGGGAGACUUUCAGCCAGGGGUUGUCUGCCAUGGUGAGAGCUGUCGGAAAGCGAAGCUGGUGGAUCCCUCCCAUGGUGGAAAAUAUCAUCGCUGCUCUCGAUGACCAGGAGUUUGCCGGAAUGCCACAAGUCGCGGCAGCUAUCUACAUCGAGCUGCUCAGCUGCCGUCUGGAGGUCUAUCCCUGUGAGGAUACACUGGAGCAGCUCCUCAACUGGCUGGAACAUGACUACCUGCAAGUCCGGAAGCUCAGCAUCAGAGGGAUAUCCCUGCUUCUGGACUCUGACAUGGACCCUUCGCUUCUGCGGCUAUUGCUGCUGAAACCCCUCACUUCUGCAGAAGCUGAUGUCCUCCCAGAGUUGAUAGAGCUGGUAAACCAAGCCUACCAUUCUAGGGAGCUGGAAGAGAAAGACCUGAAGAUGCUGGCAGAAACCUACUGCGGUCUGGCUGCCCAUGAGGAAGCCUCCGUCCGGGCAUCAGCCAUCCAACAUCUGGGGCUGCUUCGGGGCUGGGUGAGAGACCAAAGGCUUCCCUUUACAACAACAGAAGAGGAAGCCAUUCACGAACUGGUUGUGGUCCUCAUUCACCUCGCAGAUGAGGACGAAGUGGCCAAGGCCGCAAGGAGGGCUCUUUCCCAUCUAGCCCCAGAAGUCAAGUGGUGGGCUCAUCCCAACAAAUUUAGCCUCCACUUUGCUCUCCACCAGGCUGCCAAGCAUCUGAGCAAGACCUUCAGCAAGGACAUCCUUCGGAGUGCUGCCUUAUCAUGUACGAAGCCAUCUGCCAACAGGCUGCCAGCAGUCUCCAGGGUGGCAGCUCUGCUUCUGGGUCAUCUGGCUUUCCGGGAUGCCAGUUUCAUCCACAAUCAAGACAUGGCAUCCUAUGGAAAAUGGCUGGAAAAGAUGCAGCAGCACGAGGAAGAAGGGCUCAGGCAGACAGGGAGGAGCUGCCUGAACAUCAUGCAGCGGGCCUAUAAACAUUGGAAGAAAGGCAGGGUCCAGCGCUUUUUGAGGAGGAUGCUCCACUGCGUUCACAGGGAACCUUACCCACAGGACUUCCUGAGCUGCAUGCCAGAACAUCCGGAGUAGCGCCAGGCCAAGGCAAUGCGGACACCAGAGUUGUGCUGCAGAGAUACCAUCUUCUGCUCUCCGCAGGAUCCAGUCUGGACCAGCGCCAGGAACAUCACCGCCAUCAGAAUCGACCAAGAGGAGUGGUGCUGCCCUCACGACCCUCCGUACACAGCGGUCAAGAUGCACAUCAGGGUUAACAUCAACUUCAUCGUGAUCAAGGAACUCCAUGGGUUCAAGGAGACCAAGGAUAUCAACAACUCCUCUUUCUGUGCUGAGGUCCCUACAGGUCUGAUACUCAUCACAAGCCACUAUCAAGUCAUCAAC